AGGUAUAUAGCUCAAGUGGCAGAGCCCAUGCUUAGCAUGCAUGAGGUCCUAGGUUCAAUCCCCAGUACCUC
rnacentral:tRNA from 1 species